AAUAAGAUGCCUGAGCAAAGGAUUAUUUUGAUAGAAUAAAUUACGUGAAAUUAAUCACUCUUAUUA
rnacentral:tRNA from 1 species